GCCACGGUGGUCUAGCGGUUGGAACGCUGGCUUUGUGAUCCUGGGGUCUCGGGUUCGAUUCCCGGCGGUGCCC
rnacentral:tRNA from 1 species